AUGCAGUACUGGUCCCUGGAGGGAGCCGAGGAGAUCUCCGGCAAGCUGGUGUGCGUCGACCGCCUUGACAGCCGCACACUUGAACGCGGCCACACGAAGAUGUUCGCCUGUUGGGUGUGGGUGUGGGACAUGGCGCACAUACCCACCAAGCACACAUUCUGGCGGCUCCUAUGCGACGCGGGGUGGGUCGAGGAGAUGAAUGGAUUCUCGCUGUCGGACCGCAGAGUUGCACCACUGCCCGGUGCUAUGCAACACUAGAUGUUGAUCCAUGUUGAUCGAGUGGAAGGUUGGACGAGGUGCUCCCCAAGCUCCUUGCACUCGGUCCAAAGUAGUCUACCAUUCUUCGACUCCAACAUUGAGGACGGGAAGAUACCGCUGGUGUACCCUUGCACCUGGACCAUGAAAGUUGAAGACAGACAACACCCGGAGCGACACCGACCCUAG
rnacentral:rRNA from 1 species